rnacentral:rRNA from 1 species
GGUUAAGCGACUAAGCGUACACGGUGGAUGCCCUGGCAGUCAGAGGCGAUGAAGGGCGUGCUAAUCUGCGAUAAGCGCCGGUAAGGUGAUAUGAACCGUUAUAACCGGCGAUACCCGAAUGGGGAAACCCAGUGUGACUCGUCACACUAUCAUUAACUGAAUCCAUAGGUUAAUGAGGCGAACCGGGGGAACUGAAACAUCUAAGUACCCCGAGGAAAAGAAAUCAACCGAGAUUCCCCCAGUAGCGGCGAGCGAACGGGGAGGAGCCCAGAGCCUGAAUCAGCAUGUGUGUUAGUGGAAGCGUCUGGAAAGGCGCGCGAUACAGGGUGACAGCCCCGUACACAAAAGCGCAUGUGCUGUGAGCUCGAUGAGUAGGGCGGGACACGUGGUAUCCUGUCUGAAUAUGGGGGGACCAUCCUCCAAGGCUAAAUACUCCUGACUGACCGAUAGUGAACCAGUACCGUGAGGGAAAGGCGAAAAGAACCCCGGCGAGGGGAGUGAAAAAGAACCUGAAACCGUGUACGUACAAGCAGUGGGAGCACAGGUUUACCUGUGUGACUGCGUACCUUUUGUAUAAUGGGUCAGCGACUUAUAUUCUGUAGCAAGGUUAACCGAAUAGGGGAGCCGGAGGGAAACCGAGUCUUAACCGGGCGUUAAGUUGCAGGGUAUAGACCCGAAACCCGGUGAUCUAGCCAUGGGCAGGUUGAAGGUUGGGUAACACUAACUGGAGGACCGAACCGACUAAUGUUGAAAAAUUAGCGGAUGACCUGUGGCUGGGGGUGAAAGGCCAAUCAAACCGGGAGAUAGCUGGUUCUCCCCGAAAGCUAUUUAGGUAGCGCCUCGUGAAUUCAUCUCCGGGGGUAGAGCACUGUUUCGGCUAGGGGGCCAUCCCGGCUUACCAACCCGAUGCAAACUGCGAAUACCGGAGAAUGUUAUCACGGGAGACACACGGCGGGUGCUAACGUCCGUCGUGAAGAGGGAAACAACCCAGACCGCCAGCUAAGGUCCCAAAGUCAUGGUUAAGUGGGAAACGAUGUGGGAAGGCCCAGACAGCCAGGAUGUUGGCUUAGAAGCAGCCAUCAUUUAAAGAAAGCGUAAUAGCUCACUGGUCGAGUCGGCCUGCGCGGAAGAUGUAACGGGGCUAAACCAUGCACCGAAGCUGCGGCAGCGAACGUAUCACUUAAAGCGAUUCAGCGGGUUACGAUUGACGGAGCGAAGCGACGUCAAAGCGUAUACAAAGUCGAGUCGGUUUAAGGAUACGUUCGUUGGGUAGGGGAGCGUUCUGUAAGCCUGUGAAGGUGUGUCGUGAGGCAUGCUGGAGGUAUCAGAAGUGCGAAUGCUGACAUAAGUAACGAUAAAGCGGGUGAAAAGCCCGCUCGCCGGAAGACCAAGGGUUCCUGUCCAACGUUAAUCGGGGCAGGGUGAGUCGACCCCUAAGGCGAGGCCGAAAGGCGUAGUCGAUGGGAAACGGGUUAAUAUUCCCGUACUUGGUGUUACUGCGAAGGGGGGACGGAGAAGGCUAUGUUGGCCGGGCGACGGUUGUCCCGGUUUAAGCGUGUAGGCUGGUUUUCCAGGCAAAUCCGGAAAAUCAAGGCUGAGGCGUGAUGACGAGGCACUACGGUGCUGAAGCAACAAAUGCCCUGCUUCCAGGAAAAGCCUCUAAGCAUCAGGUAACAUCAAAUCGUACCCCAAACCGACACAGGUGGUCAGGUAGAGAAUACCAAGGCGCUUGAGAGAACUCGGGUGAAGGAACUAGGCAAAAUGGUGCCGUAACUUCGGGAGAAGGCACGCUGACACGUAGGUGAAGUGAUUUACUCAUGGAGCUGAAGUCAGUCGAAGAUACCAGCUGGCUGCAACUGUUUAUUAAAAACACAGCACUGUGCAAACACGAAAGUGGACGUAUACGGUGUGACGCCUGCCCGGUGCCGGAAGGUUAAUUGAUGGGGUCAGCGCAAGCGAAGCUCCUGAUCGAAGCCCCGGUAAACGGCGGCCGUAACUAUAACGGUCCUAAGGUAGCGAAAUUCCUUGUCGGGUAAGUUCCGACCUGCACGAAUGGCGUAAUGAUGGCCAGGCUGUCUCCACCCGAGACUCAGUGAAAUUGAACUCGCUGUGAAGAUGCAGUGUACCCGCGGCAAGACGGAAAGACCCCGUGAACCUUUACUAUAGCUUGACACUGAACAUUGAGCCUUGAUGUGUAGGAUAGGUGGGAGGCUUUGAAGCGUGGACGCCAGUCUGCGUGGAGCCGACCUUGAAAUACCACCCUUUAAUGUUUGAUGUUCUAACGUGGACCCGUGAUCCGGGUUGCGGACAGUGUCUGGUGGGUAGUUUGACUGGGGCGGUCUCCUCCUAAAGAGUAACGGAGGAGCACGAAGGUUGGCUAAUCCUGGUCGGACAUCAGGAGGUUAGUGCAAUGGCAUAAGCCAGCUUGACUGCGAGCGUGACGGCGCGAGCAGGUGCGAAAGCAGGUCAUAGUGAUCCGGUGGUUCUGAAUGGAAGGGCCAUCGCUCAACGGAUAAAAGGUACUCCGGGGAUAACAGGCUGAUACCGCCCAAGAGUUCAUAUCGACGGCGGUGUUUGGCACCUCGAUGUCGGCUCAUCACAUCCUGGGGCUGAAGUAGGUCCCAAGGGUAUGGCUGUUCGCCAUUUAAAGUGGUACGCGAGCUGGGUUUAGAACGUCGUGAGACAGUUCGGUCCCUAUCUGCCGUGGGCGCUGGAGAACUGAGGGGGGCUGCUCCUAGUACGAGAGGACCGGAGUGGACGCAUCACUGGUGUUCGGGUUGUCAUGCCAAUGGCACUGCCCGGUAGCUAAAUGCGGAAGAGAUAAGUGCUGAAAGCAUCUAAGCACGAAACUUGCCCCGAGAUGAGUUCUCCCUGAGACUUAAAGUCUCCUGAAGGAACGUUGAAGACGACGACGUUGAUAGGCCGGGUGUGUAAGCGCAGCGAUGCGUUGAGCUAACCGGUACUAAUGAACCGUGAGGCUUAACCUU